UACGUAGGCGGAAAAUUAAGUCAGUAGUGAAAUCCUGCAGCUUAACUGUAGAACUGUUAUUGAUACUGGUUUUCUUGAAUUUAGUUGAGGUAGGCGGAAUGUGUAAUGUAGCGGUGAAAUGCUUAGAUAUUACACGGAACACCGAUUGCGAAGGCAGCUUACUAAGCUAUGAUUGACGCUGAGGUACGAAAGCGUGGGGAGCGAACAGGAUUAGAUACCCUGGUAGUCC
rnacentral:rRNA from 1 species